UUCCACCACCUCUCUGAUUGACCUGUUCCAGUGCUUCACCACCCUUACUGUAAAAAUCUUCUUCCCCAUAUCCAGUCUAUCCAUUUAUGGGAAGGAAUAUUUUUGAUGUAGUUGUACUGCCGUGAUGCUCUGACUUUGAACUUUGAUUUCUGCAGGUUCUUUGCCAGAGCAUCCUCACAGCAAGUGAAAGAACAGAGAGCUAUGACUGAAUUGAAAGACUGACUAAUUACUCCAAAGGUAAUGUGGCAAAGUCAGAGGGAAUUGAAUCAUCUGCCAUUAGCAAUCAAAGCCCCAGUGUUCUGUUAAAAAAAGGUUGAUGUACAUUCCUGCUCGUAGAGGAAUCAACAGAUUUUGUUUAAAAUUCUGCUGUUGCGGAGGAGGUUUCCUGGAGAAACAUGACCACACCAGCCCAGGAGGGACAGAGAGGUCUCCUGCCCUGGCGGUGUGUGGAUGGAAAGCUGCCUGGCCUUACUAUGCUGAAUGGGGCCACUCACUGGAUCAUCCUCACAGACAGAAAUCAAACACCAGAGCUCAAGUGGAAGAGAUUACAGUCCUGGAGCCUAAGCUCCCACGUGCAUUUGGUGAAAAGGAGACCUCUUUUAGACAAACAAUCCAUCAGAAUGGCAAAUUACCCCUGAAGUCUCAGCAUUGUGCUACUGAGUUCCUCUAGAAGCAACAGUGAAAAGCACAACCUAUCUGCUAAUUGUUUUACUUCAAUGCCUUUUGCUGAUAUGGAGAGCUUAGAAGAGCUCAGUAGUGGUUUCAAUUACUUGGGUAUAAAUCCAAAAAAUGACAGUGGGGUUGGGCCAGAUUUACAGAGCUGUAAAUGAGAUUUUAAGAAAUGUCUGCGUAGUUUCCUUUCAGGAUCUAUAUCUAAAUGUCUUAAUUAGCCUCUCAAUUCAAGGGUCUAAUUUCCACCACGGUUAAUGAAUUGCAUUUAUACACAGUGGAUAAAUUAUCUUGCCAGUUUUUACGGAAUAUUUUAAAGACUCUUUAUGAGAAAAGAGAGCCUCAAAGUUCUCCAGCCUUGUUUUUCCAAGUCUGAGGACUAAAUAUAGUGUACAUUCCCCAGAAAAUGUGAGUGAUGGGGAUUAGUAAUUCAUGAGUGAUGUGGCCCAUUUACAGCCUUAACAGCACAGAGCUCAUUGUUGCAUGGAGAGGAUCAAACAAAACAACUGGGUUGACUUUCAUGCAUUUAAAACAAUGAGGAAUAAACGCUUAAUCGGCUAGAACUGCAAAUGCUCUCUCCCCCCCCCUUUCCUCCCCCCCCCCCCGUUUAGUUAACACUGAUGAAAAUACUGAAUCAUGGCUAAGAAUUAAGCUGUAAAGUGAAUUUUAAAAGGCAAAAGGGUAAUGAAUAAAAGCUCCAAAGUAUUAGAAGUUGGGGCUCCAAAUGAAUUUGGAUUAUGUAAUAAAGCUGUCAUCUGAUGAAAGAAGAAAAGUCCUCCCCAAACCUAUGGUUGUUUCUGAUUGCUGUGUUUUUAGUCCCUUUUUGAGAGGCACUAUAGGUAGUAGGUGGUCACCAUGAGGAAGUGCUUUGAGUCUGAGCCAUUUAUCAACAGCUGAUUGUUUCCAUACCCUUCUCUUUUAUGUGAGAUAGACCUCAGUGCUUGGUCCCCCAAAGGGAGGGAUGCCCCUGUGCUAUAAGCUGGGCCCCUGGAAGGGGUGCGCAGAGGAGCAGAGCAGUGCCCUGAGUGAGGUGACCGUGCUGCAGCCACCUCUGUGCAGUGCUGUCUAUGCAGCCCUCCUGCAGCUCCAGCAAAGGAAUGGCGAGCUUCACAUGUCCCCACAUUAUCGAGUAACCUUCAGAUGAUGGGCGUACUCCCAGCUCUUGAGAUGCACGCCACAAGCCUGGUUUUUGUUGCUGUUUUCUUCUGGUUGUUUUGUUUUUGUUUUUUGCGGUGUUGUUCUAACGUAACUCGGUUGCCUGCCUAAGACUCGCUGUGCUUUCCAGCAGAGCUAAUGAGCAGUCCCUGUGAAUUAUCCAACAAAAGGACUCCUACUCAUGGUCUUAAAAUAUUGCCUGUUAUAUCUUUGAUUGGAAAGGAGAAAGUGGCCCUUCCGUUAAUUGCAGCCACUUUUUAUUCUCAUCUCUUAGAGCACAGCCUGAUAUGUAGGCCUGCCUCUGUGCGUUUGUUCACCCCAGCCUUUUUCUAAUGCUCCGGGAAAGGCAAAGCUGCUCUGGCUGCACGCUCCGUAGCUGUGAGUAGGAGGAGGCAUUUGCUGCUUUCUGUUCUCUCACAGAAGUAACCCCACUCACUGCUGGCGCAGGUUUGCAACAGAGGAUGCAAGCCUCGCUGUGUGCCUCUGCUUUGCUCCAGGUAUACAUCAGUCAUUAUGAGGACAGGCUGAGGGAGUUGGGCUUGUUCAGCCUGG